rnacentral:lncRNA from 1 species
GCAACUUCCUAUAACAAGACCACUGGAGGGACCAAGACAGGCCAAUUGCUACAGUUCACUGGCCAGUCAGCAGAGCUGAAAUGUUGAGCCCCACGUUCAGGGAGAGACACCUGACACUGACCUCAGGCCCACACACAAAUGAGCACUCUCCCCCCACAUGCUCACCCACACACAUGCUCACCCACACACAUGCUCACCCACACACACAUGCUCACCCACACACACAUGCUCACCCACACAUGCUCACCCACACACGCUCACCCACACACACAUGCUCACCCACACAUGCUCACCCACACAUGCUCACCCACACACAUGCUCACCCACACACAUGCU